GCAUCAUCAAAGCUUGCUUUGAUGGAUGGCGACCGGCGCACGGGUGAGUAACACGUAUCCAACCUGCCGACAACACUGGGAUAGCCUUUCGAAAGAAAGAUUAAUACCGGAUGGUAUAGUUUUCCCGCAUGGGAUGAUUAUUAAAGAAUUUCGGUUGUCGAUGGGGAUGCGUUCCAUUAGGCAGUUGGCGGGGUAACGGCCCACCAAACCUACGAUGGAUAGGGGUUCUGAGAGGAAGGUCCCCCACAUUGGAACUGAGACACGGUCCAAACUCCUACGGGAGGCAGCAGUGAGGAAUAUUGGUCAAUGGACGAGAGUCUGAACCAGCCAAGUAGCGUGAAGGAUGACUGCCCUAUGGGUUGUAAACUUCUUUUAUACGGGAAUAAAGUGAGCCACGUGUGGCUUUUUGUAUGUACCGUAUGAAUAAGGAUCGGCUAACUCCGUGCCAGCAGCCGCGGUAAUACGGAGGAUCCGAGCGUUAUCCGGAUUUAUUGGGUUUAAAGGGAGCGUAGGCGGGUUGUUAAGUCAGUUGUGAAAGUUUGCGGCUCAACCGUAAAAUUGCAGUUGAUACUGGCGACCUUGAGUGCAACAGAGGUAGGCGGAAUUCGUGGUGUAGCGGUGAAAUGCUUAGAUAUCACGAAGAACUCCGAUUGCGAA
rnacentral:rRNA from 1 species